UAAAAUUUAGGAUGCAUUGGAAUUUCCAUGCCAAAGGUGGAAGACAGCCCCUCUGGAUCUCAGACAAGCAAAACAAUGCAAACCUAGAUUUUAAAACCAGAAAGACAAAUAAUGCUCAAGAAUUUCAAGUCUGGUGAAAGCAUUUCACUGCUCCAUGACUCUUGCAAAGAGGCCUGUUUUUUCAGACUGCCUUUAUCAGUUAUCCAUCAUGACCACGUCUUUCUGGACAGGACUCUUUGGGGGUGCAGUGCUGCCCUGUCAAGAAGAUGGCUUGUAUCCUGUGGUGUAUACAGAAACAACUAA
rnacentral:lncRNA from 1 species